AUUGAACGCUGGCGGCAGGCCUAACACAUGCAAGUCGAGCGAGCGGCGGACGGGGGAGUAAUGUAUGGGGGUAUGCGCGCAAGAGGGGGAUAACUACGGGAGACGGGCGCUAAUACCGCAUACUAGCGGAGGAACCCAUAUGGGAUUAGCUAGUUGGUGGGGGAAAGGCUCACCUAGGCGACGAUCUCUAGCUGGUCUGAGAGGAUGAUCAGCCACACUGGAACUGAGACACGGCCCAGACUCCUACGGGAGGCAGCAGUGGGGAAUAUUGCACAAUGGGCGCAAGCCUGAUGCAGCCAUGCCGCGUGUAUGAAGAAGGCCUUCGGGUUGUAAAGCACUUUCAGCGGGGAGGCGUUACCCGCAGAAGAAGCACCGGCUAACUCCGUGCCAGCAGCCGCGGUAAUAC
rnacentral:rRNA from 1 species